rnacentral:sRNA from 1 species
AUGUACCACUCGUACACUCCGGUUCCUGUGCGCCGUCCGCACCCACCUGACGACUGCUGCGUGUGCC